rnacentral:rRNA from 1 species
GCCCGAUUAGCUUGUUGGCGAGGUAACGGCUCACCAAGGCAAUGAUCGGUAGCUGGUCUGAGAGGAUGAUCAGCCACACUGGAACUGAGACACGGUCCAGACUCCUACGGGAGGCAGCAGUGGGGAAUCUUGCACAAUGGGCGAAAGCCUGAUGCAGCGACGCCGCGUGGGGGAUGAAGCUUCUCGGAGUGUAAACCCCUUUCGCCUGGAACGAAUGCCCGCAAGGGAGUGACGGUACCAGGAUAAGAAGCCCCGGCUAACUACGUGCCAGCAGCCGCGGUAAGACGUAGGGGGCCAGCGUUGUUCGGAAUUACUGGGUGUAAAGGGUUCGUAGGCGGUGUGGCAAGUUGGGAGUGAAAUCUCUGGGCUCAACCCAGAGGCUGCUUCCAAAACUGCUGUGCUUGAGUGUGAGAGAGGCUUGUGGAAUUGCAGGUGUAGCGGUGAAAUGCGUAGAUAUCUGCAGGAACACCCGUGGCGAAAGCGGCGAGCUGGAUCACUACUGACGCUGAGGAACGAAAGCUAGGGGAGCA